UUCAACUUGCCUGAAGUUUAAGUUUCUUUCACUCUCCUAGCUGACAUCACAUGUGAAUUGCAGUUAUUCAAGUCUUGAAGGGGGGACAUAACUUUAUUACUUUGGGGCAUUAUUGCUUCCAAAGUGCUGUAUUAGGCUUGACUAGACAAAACUAUUGUUGGAAUUCCUAAUUUUUGCUCUUCGUUUUUCAGGACAAUUUUGAUGUUCAGUGAUCCAUAUGCCUUAAAAGAUGCUGAUAGGUCAUACUCAAUCUGGUGCAAGAUGUCUUUAUUGUUUCCUAAGCGUUGGAGUUCAUUACUUCACCUUUAUUAAGAAAAUCAGAGAUUCAGCAUUGUUCAUUCUUAGGGAAGGGUGAGGAUACUAACAA